rfam:Pteropus alecto contig96276, whole genome shotgun sequence.
GUCUACAGCCAUGCCACCCUGAACAAGCCCAACAUCUGAUCUUGGAAGCUAAGCAAGGUCGGGCCUGGUUAGUACUUGGAAGGGAGACCACCUAGGAAGACCAGGUGCUAUAGGCA